CAAACUUGUCAGAGCGAACACCUUGAGUGUCCCCGGGGAAUCCAGCUUCCUGACGACUCGAAGAUCAGCCUGUGGAUGCUGUGACCAGCGUGUCCCAAACUUCAGGGCACAGAGUCUUGUUCCAGAUUCACUUUUUUACUAUGACAGUAUAACUGUGGACGUCAUACUUUUCUUUACAGCUGAAAUCUCACUUUUUACAUUUUAACUUUU